rnacentral:lncRNA from 1 species
AAGGGAUAUAUGAAAAGACCAAAACCAAACUAAAAAAGGUUUAACUAAGAAAUGUAAAACAAAUUUUGAAUAAACAGAAAUAGGUAAUAUUCCUGAAUUUAACAUUUUAAACUUUGUAAAAAAUAAAUCCACCAAUUAAUCAUCCAACUAUCUCCCAUAUAAUCUCUCUAAAAAUAUCAUAAUAUGUAUUUUUGGAAUUUAAAAAAAUGGCUCUAAAUUUUAUUUAAAACUUCAAAAUAACAUAAACGUUAAUACUUUGUUUAUUGAAAACUGUGACUACACCUUUUUAUGAAAUGUAUAGAGUAUUCAUAAAUUUGACCAAAUAAUAAGCCUCA